CCUACGGGAGUCAGCAGUGGGGAAUCUUGCGCAAUGGGCGAAAGCCUGACGCAGCCAUGCCGCGUGAAUGAUGAAGGUCUUAGGAUUGUAAAAUUCUUUCACCGGGGACGAUAAUGACGGUACCCGGAGAAGAAGCCCCGGCUAACUUCGUGCCAGCAGCCGCGGUAAUACGAAGGGGGCUAGCGUUGCUCGGAAUUACUGGGCGUAAAGGGAGCGUAGGCGGAUAGUUUAGUCAGAGGUGAAAGCCCAGGGCUCAACCUUGGAAUUGCCUUUGAUACUGGCUAUCUUGAGUGUGGGAGAGGUAUGUGGAACUCCGAGUGUAGAGGUGAAAUUCGUAGAUAUUCGGAAGAACACCAGUGGCGAAGGCGACAUACUGGCCCAUUACUGACGCUGAGGCUCGAAAGCGUGGGGAGCAAACAGGAUUAGAUACCCUGGUAGUCCACGCUGUAAACGAUGAGUGCUAGUUGUCGGCAGGCAUGCCUGUCGGUGACGCAGCUAACGCAUUAAACACUCCGCCUGGGGAGUACGGUCGCAAGAUUAAAACUCAAAGGAAUUGACGG
rnacentral:rRNA from 1 species